UCUCCAGACUCCUACGGGAGGCAGCAGUGGGGAAUAUUGCACAAUGGGGGAAACCCUGAUGCAGCGACGCCGCGUGAGCGAUGAAGUAUUUCGGUCUGUAAAGCUCUAUCAGCAGGGAAGAAAAUGACGGUACCUGACUAAGAAGCCCCGGCUAACUACGUGCCAGCAGCCGCGGUAAUACGUAGGGGGCAAGCGUUAUCCGGAUUUACUGGGUGUAAAGGGAGCGUAGACGGCCAUUCAAGCCAGAUGUGAAAGCCCGGGGCUCAACCCCGGGACUGCAUUUGGAACUGUGUGGCUAGAGUGUCGGAGAGGCAGGCGGAAUUCCUAGUGUAGCGGUGAAAUGCGUAGAUAUUAGGAGGAACACCAGUGGCGAAGGCGGCCUGCUGGACGAUGACUGACGUUGAGGCUCGAAAGCGUGGGGAGCAAACAGGAUUAGAUACCCCUGUAC
rnacentral:rRNA from 1 species